rnacentral:rRNA from 1 species
UACGGAGGGUGCAAGCGUUAUCCGGAUUUACUGGGUUUAAAGGGUGCGUAGGUGGGUCUGUAAGUCAGUGGUGAAAUCUCCGGGCUUAACCCGGAAAUUGCCAUUGAUACUAUAGGUCUUGAAUCAUCUGGAGGUAAGCGGAAUAUGUCAUGUAGCGGUGAAAUGCUUAGAUAUGACAUAGAACACCAAUUGCGAAGGCAGCUUACUACGGAUGUAUUGACACUGAGGCACGAAAGCGUGGGGAUCAAACGG